AUAGCUCAGUGGUAGAGCGCAUGCUUACAAUGCAUGAGGUCCUAGGUUCAAUCCCUGGU
rnacentral:tRNA from 1 species